UGGGAAUUCGUUGCUGGAGACCGGUCUCAUCCGCGAUCGGAGGAGAUCUACGCCACCUUGGAGGAGAUCGGCGUAUUGCUGAAGCUCGCGGCUCAUGCGCAGGAGCGGGAAUCCGUCCUCUACCACGUCUGCAUCGAGGACGAUGAGCAUCUACCGGAUCGAGAUCGAACUCACUACGGUAAGGACCGAAGAGAAGGUACCUGAAUCGAGAUUCAUCACAUCGCGUCCAUGCUCAUCACGACGAACCUCAUCAUCUGCGGAGACUCCACUCCGCACGUCGAUGGAGGGCUACGGCGGUGAACAGUGGACAGAGGAAGACUGAGGCAGGCGCGAUCGCCGCCGGCGGUGGCUCUCCAGUUCAUCCUCAU
rnacentral:lncRNA from 1 species